rnacentral:rRNA from 1 species
CNUUAUACAUGCAAGUCGAACGAGAAAGUCACUUCGGUGGCGAGUACAGUGGCGCACGGGUGAGUAACGCGUAGAUGAUCUACCCUUCAGUCUGGGACAACUCUUGGAAACGGGAGCUAAUACCGGAUAAAACCUUCGGGUUGAAAGAUUUAUCGCUGGGGGAUGAGUCUGCGUACCAUUAGCUUGUUGGUGGGGUAACGGCCUACCAAGGCGACGAUGGUUAGCGGGUCUGAKAGGACSAUCCSCCMCACUGKAACUGAGACACGGUCCAGACUCCUACGGGAGGCAGCAGUAGGGAAUAUUGCGCAAUGGGGGCAACCCUGACGCASCAAUGCCGCGUGAGUGAAGAAGGCCUUCGGGUCGUAAAGCUCUUUUAUGGGGGAAGAUGAUGACGGUACCCCAUGAAUAAGCACCGGCUAACUACGUGCCAGCAGCCGCGGUAAUACGUAGGGUGCGAGCGUUGUUCGGAAUUACUGGGCGUAAAGGGCGUGCAGGCGGAUUGGCAAGCCGGAGGUGAAAGCCCGGGGCUCWACCCCGGAGGGUCUUUCGGAACUGCCAGUCUUGAGAGGGUCAGGGGCCAGCGGAAUUCCUGGUGUAGAGGUGAAAUUCGUAGAGAUCAGGAGGAACACCGGCGGCGAAAGCGGCUGGCUGGGGCCMCUCUGACGCUGAGGCGCGAAAGCGUGGGGAGCAAACAGGAUUAGAUACCCUGGUAGUCCACGCCGUAAACGAUGGGCACUAAGCGUCCGACGGGUUCGACCCUGUUGGGUGCUGCAGUUAACGCGUUAAGG